GAUCCUGGCUCAGAGCGAACGCUGGCGGCAGGCUUAACACAUGCAAGUCGAGCGGGCCCUUCGGGGUCAGCGGCGGACGGGUGAGUAACGCGUGGGAACGUGCCUUCUGGUUCGGAAUAACCCUGGGAAACCAGGGCUAAUACCGGAUACGCCCUUUUGGGGAAAGGUUUACUGCCGGAAGAUCGGCCCGCGUCUGAUUAGCUAGUUGGUGGGGUAACGGCCUACCAAGGCGACGAUCAGUAGCUGGUCUGAGAGGAUGAU
rnacentral:rRNA from 1 species